AGAGUUUGAUCCUGGCUCAGAAUCAACGCUGGCGGCGCGCUUAACACAUGCAAGUCGCACGAGAAAGGGAGCAAUCCUAAGUAAAGUGGCGUACGGGUGAGUAACACGUGGAUCAUCUACCUUUUAGUGGGGAAUACCUCCUGGAAACGGGAGACAAUACCGCAUAAGCUCGAGAGAGGAAAGCAGCAAUGCGCUGAAAGAGGAGUCCGCGGCUGAUUAGCUAGUUGGCGGGGUAAUGGCCCACCAAGGCGAAGAUCGGUAGCCGGCCUGAGAGGGCACACGGCCACACUGGCACUGAAACACGGGCCAGACUCCUACGGGAGGCAGCAGUGGGGAAUCUUGCACAAUGGAGGAAACUCUGAUGCAGCGACGCCGCGUGAGCGAUGAAGCCCUUCGGGGUGUAAAGCUCU
rnacentral:rRNA from 1 species